ACCAGACUCCUACGGGAGGCAGCAGUGAGGAAUAUUGGUCAAUGGGCGGAAGCCUGAACCAGCCAAGUCGCGUGAGGGAAGAAGGCCCUGCGGGUCGCAGACCUCUUUGGACGGGGAGCAAGGCCGCCGACGUGUCGGCGGAAGGAGAGUACCCGUAGAACAAGCAUCGGCUAACUCCGUGCCAGCAGCCGCGGUAAUACGGAGGAUGCGAGCGUUAUCCGGAUUUAUUGGGUUUAAAGGGUGCGUAGGCGGGCUUUAAAGUCAGGGGUAAAAAUUCGGGGCUCACCCCGGGCGAGCCGUUGAAACUGUCGGACUAGAGACGGCGAGAAGUACGCGGAAUGCGCGGUGUAGCGGUGAAAUGCAUAGAUAUCGCGCAGAACUCCGAUUGCGAAGGCAGCGUACCGGCGCCGGACUGACGCUGAGGCACGAAAGCGUGGGUAUCGAACAGGAUUAGAUACCCUGGUA
rnacentral:rRNA from 1 species